rnacentral:rRNA from 1 species
GGGGAAUUUUCCGCAAUGGGCGAAAGCGUGACGGAGCAAGACCGCGUGAGGGAAGAAGGCUCUUGGGUUGUAAACCUCUUUUCUCAGGGAAGAACACAAUGACGGUACCUGAGGAAUCAGCCUCGGCUAACUCCGUGCCAGCAGCCGCGGUAAUACGGAGGAGGCAAGCGUUAUCCGGAAUUAUUGGGCGUAAAGCGUCCGUAGGUGGUCAUGUAAGUCGGUCGUCAAAGCACAGGGCUUAACCCUGUAAUGGCGGUGGAAACUGCACGACUAGAGAGAGGUAGGGGUAGAGGGAAUUCCCAGUGUAGCGGUGAAAUGCGUAGAGAUUGGGAGGAACACCAGUGGCGAAGGCGGCUUACUGGACCGGAACUGACGCUGAGGCGCGAAAGCGUGGGGAGCAAACAGGAUUAGAUACCCUGGUAGUC